rnacentral:rRNA from 1 species
GACGAACGCUGGCGGCGCGCUUAACACAUGCAAGUCGAGCGAAGCGGCGGACGGGUGAGUAACACGUGAGUAACCUGCCUUAGACAUUGGGAUAGCCUCGGGAAACCGGGAUUCAUACCAAAUGGUCUAAGAUGGAAUCGCGUCCCAUUAGCAAGUUGGUGAGGUAACGGCCCACCAAGGGGACGAUGGGUAGCCGGCCUGAGAGGGUGAACGGCAACCGUGGAACUGAGAAACGGUCAAAACUCUACGGGAGGCAGCCGUAGGGAAUAUUGCACAAUGGAGGGAACUCUAAUACAGCGAAGCCGCGUGAACGUAGAAGGCUUUCGAGUCGUAAAGUUCUUUUAUAUGGGAAGCGGGACCAUAAGAAAAAGCCCCGGCUAACUACGUGCCAGCCGCCGCGGUAAUAC